AACGCGAAGAACCUUACCAGGUCUUGACAUCCCGCUGACCGCCUAGGAGACUAGGCUUUCCCUUCGGGGACAGCGGUGACAGGUGGUGCAUGGUUGUCGUCAGCUCGUGUCGUGAGAUGUUGGGUUAAGUCCCGCAACGAGCGCAACCCUUGAUCUUAGUUGCCAGCAUUUAGUUGGGCACUCUAAGGUGACUGCCGGUGACAAACCGGAGGAAGGUGGGGAUGACGUCAAAUCAUCAUGCCCCUUAUGACCUGGGCUACACACGUGCUACAAUGGAUGGAACAAAGGGUCGCGAAGCCGCGAGGUCGAGCCAAUCCCAUAAAUCCAUUCUCAGUUCGGAUUGCAGGCUGCAACUCGCCUGCAUGAAGCCGGAAUCGCUAGUAAUCGCAGAUCAGCAACGCUGCGGUGAAUACGUUCCCGGGCCUUGUACACACCG
rnacentral:rRNA from 1 species